rnacentral:lncRNA from 10 species
GACUGAGGCGAGGGCUGCGGGACAAUCACGCUCGGCCUUCUCCUCUCCCGGGCGGCGCUCUCCCUGUGGCGGGGACCUGGGACGAGGGGGUGGGGUGGGGAGGGGAAGGCAGGAGGGGGCUGCCCUUCCGUUGCCCAUGCUAAAGGUUCCUGUGUAGGAAGCUGGACGCAGCCUGCUGGACUAGUAAUCUUCCUCCUCGCUGGGGCGCGGGGCACUGAAGGGAGGGAGAGACUUUCUCCUCCUUCCUGUUCCCCGGGACAGCUGUGCUCUCCGAAUCCUUCCCUUCUUCCCAGCCCACUUAUUCCCCGCUCGCCAAGCAUCUUCAACUAAAGAUGUCAAAGCACAAGCUCACUUCCCACGGAAGGUAGCAAUUACUAUUAUCUACUUGACAGCUACAAGAACCUAGGCACAGAGGUUAAGUGCUCUGCAAAUACUACCAGCCAGUGGUGGUUUUCCUGCCAGAACCAAGUUCUUGCCUUCCAGUGGACACCAUUGAUCUCUCAAGAUGAUUCUUUAAGUUAAAAAGCACGAAUCACAAAGGGCCUCAAAACCACAUUAAAAUUUAAGAUUGAUCUGCUCUUCUGCUUCUGAAUGUGAGAGCCUAUACUGGAUCUCUGAAGAAAAUAAAGAUGAGAUGAGGUUCUGAUCCCUUGGACUUCAUGAAGUUACGUGACAGAAAGUAUGAUUGUCUAGCCGAUACUUGACUGUGUGAAACCUUCAUCUACUCCGGAAUCCUGAGGCACAGACUCAGAGGCCCUCUGACUCACGAUUAGGGUUGUCAGGGUGAUGCAACAGCAAGACCAUAGCCUUUGGUGUCGGAAUACCAAGUUUUGAAGCUCAGUUUCCCCACUCACUAAUUUUCAGUGAGCACAUACAUAAUUUGAAAUCUGAAAAUGGACAAUAAUGCCUACCUACUUCAAAAUUUGGUUUGAGAAUCAAGUGAAAUAUUAAUAUAUAUGUAAGCAUUUUAUGAACAAGGAAGCAAGUUAUAAAUGCAUUAUCUUGUUAAUUUAGUCAUUUCACUAGGGGUGGGUCCAAUGUGGGCCUCCUUUGAGGUAGACUGUAUUUCAUGAAUUUAUAAUAAAAUUCUAAAGUUUAACAAA